rnacentral:rRNA from 1 species
AUUGAACGCUGGCGGCAUGCUUUACACAUGCAAGUCGAACGGUAACAGGGUGCUUGCACCGCUGACGAGUGGCGAACGGGUGAGUAAUGCGUCAGAACGUGCCGAGUAGUGGGGGAUAACGCAGCGAAAGUUGUGCUAAUACCGCAUACGUACUGAGGUAGAAAGUGGGGGACCUUCGGGCCUCACGCUAUUCGAGCGGCCGACGUCUGAUUAGCUAGUAGGUGAGGUAAAGGCUCACCUAGGCGACGAUCAGUAGCGGGUCUGAGAGGAUGAUCCGCCACACUGGGACUGAGACACGGCCCAGACUCCUACGGGAGGCAGCAGUGGGGAAUUUUGGACAAUGGGCGAAAGCCUGAUCCAGCCAUGCCGCAUGUCUGAAGAAGGCCUUCGGGUUGUAAAGGACUUUUGUCAGGGAGGAAAUCCCUAGUGCUAAUAACACUGGGGGAUGACAGUACCUGAAGAAUAAGCACCGGCUAACUACGUGCCAGCAGCCGCCGUAA